UUUCACCCUACACAUUAUUUUCUCUCAUUCACACGUCACUCUCUAUUCUCUCUCUCCUCAUGAUUUUCUUUUCUUCCCUUCACUCGUUUUUUCUCUCACCCGAAUCUGAUUGGCCAGAUUUCUCAUAGUUCCGUUUAUUUUUAGCCAAAACUUCCUUCUUGGAAGUUGUAGAUCUCGAAGAGUUAUUGAAUUUAGGCUCAAGAAUCACUCAAUUCCGAUUCUUACUCUAUCAGUUAUGGCCUCUGCAAGUUUCGCAAUUCUGCUGCCAUAUUUCACUCGCGAUUUCGGCGGAGAAUCUUUCGUAGGAGACUUUUAACGUUUUAAAAGUGGCCUACAGGCUAGUAUAUAAAGAGUCAAGAAAGCAUUGACAUUACAGGUUCGAAGAUGCAUACCAUUGGGGAAUCUGGAAUGGAGAGGCUUUUGUGAAAGUAGUAUUUAAGUUGUUUCUAGGAGUUUAUAUUUUCAGACUUUAGCUUUGAGUUGGUGUGUUUCAGUUCAAACAUUGUUUGACUCUUAUUUCAUAAGUUUAAUAAAGUUGGUUUUGUUUUAGUAA